CCUACGGGGGGCUGCAGUGGGGAAUAUUGCACAAUGGGCGCAAGCCUGAUGCAGCGACGCCGCGUGAGCGAUGAAGGCCUUCGGGUCGUAAAGCUCUGUCCUAAGGGAAGAAUAAUGACGGUACCUUAGGAGGAAGCCACGGCUAACUACGUGGGAGCAGCCGUGGUAAUACGUAUGGGGCGAGGGUUAUCCGGAAUCACUGGGCGGAGAGGGUGCGUAGGCGGCACUGCAAGGCAGGAGUUAAAGCCCUCGGCUCAACCGAGGUUAGCGCUAGAAACGGUAGGGCUGGAGUGCAUGUGAGGAGAGAUGAAUUCGUAGUGUAGCGGUGCAAUGCGUAGAUAUUUGGAGAAAAACUAGUGGUGACGGCGGCUCUCUAGACUGCAACCGACGCUGAGGCACUAGUGCGUGGUGUGCUAACAGGAUUAGAUACCCCAGUAGUC
rnacentral:rRNA from 1 species